GACGAACGCUGGCGGCGUGCCUAAUACAUGCAAGUCGAACGCUGAAGGAGGAGCUUGCUUCUCUGGACGAGUUGCGAACGGGUGAGUAACGCGUAGGUAACCUGCCUGGUAGCGGGGGAUAACUAUUGGAAACGAUAGCUAAUACCGCAUAAUAGCAGUUGUUGCAUGACAACUGUUUGAAAGGUGCAAUUGCACCUCUACCAGAUGGACCUGCGUUGUAUUAGCUAGUUGGUGGGGUAACGGCUCACCAAGGCGACGAUACAUAGCCGGACUGAGAGGGUGGUCGGCCACCCUGGGACUGGGACCCGGCCCAGACUCCUACGGGAGGCAGCAGGAGGGAAUCUUCGGGAAUGGACGGAAGUCUGACCGAGCAACGCCGCGGGAGUGAAGAAGGGUUUCGGAUCGGAAAGCUCUGUUGUAAGGGAAGAAAGAGUGUGAGAGUGGAAAGUUCACACUGUGACGGUAUCUUACCAGAAAGCGACGGCUAACUACGUG
rnacentral:rRNA from 1 species